rfam:Danio rerio unplaced genomic contig NA318, GRCz11 reference primary assembly.
GGCCGGUUAGCUCAGCUGGUUAGAGCGUGGUGCUAAUAACGCCAGGGGCGCGGGUCCAAUCCCCGUAAUGGCCA